rnacentral:rRNA from 1 species
GACGAACGCUGGCGGCGUGCUUAACACAUGCAAGUCGAACGGGCCCGCCCCUGUUUUUGGGGGUGGGUUGAGUGGCGAACGGGUGAGUAUCACGUGAGUAACCUGCCCCCUGCUCCUGGAUAACUGCUUGAAAGGGCGGCUAAUACGGGGUGUGCCGGCUGGUCCGCAUGGGCCUGGUCGGGAUAGUUUCAUCUUCGGGUGUUUCGGUGGGGGAUGGGCUCGCGGCCUAUCAGCUUGUUGGUGGGGUGAUGGCCCACCAAGGCGGUGACGGGUAGCCGGCCUGGGAGGGUGGGCGGCCACACUGGGACUGAGACACGGCCCAGACUCCGGCGGGAGGCAGCAGUGGGGGGUAUUGCACAAUGGGCGGAAGCCUGAUGCAGCGACGUCGCGUGAGGGAUGGAGGCCUUCGGGUGGGGAACCUCUUUCUCCGGUGGUGAAGGCCCUGUCCGUUGCGGCGGGGUUGACGGUAGCCGGGUAUGAAGCGCCGGCUAACUACGUG